UACGUAGGGCGCAAGCGUUGUCCGGAAUUAUUGGGCGUAAAGAGCUCGUAGGCGGUUUGUCGCGUCUGUCGUGAAAGCUUGGGGCUUAACCCCAAGUCUGCGGUGGAUACGGGCAGACUAGAGGCAGGUAGGGGAGAACGGAAUUCCCGGUGUAGCGGUGAAAUGCGCAGAUAUCGGGAGGAACACCAGUGGCGAAGGCGGCUUCCUGGACCGGUUCUGACACUGAGGAGCGAAAGCGUGGGGAGCGAUCCGG
rnacentral:rRNA from 1 species